rnacentral:rRNA from 1 species
AUUGAACGCUGGCGGCAUGCCUAACACAUGCAAGUCGAACGGCAGCAUGGUCUAGCUUGCUAGACUGAUGGCGAGUGGCGAACGGGUGAGUAAUGCGCAGGAAUAUACCUUAAAGACUGGGACAACUUGGGGAAACUCAAGCUAAUACCGGAUGAGCUCUGAGGAGGAAAGCUGGGGACCGAGAGGCCUGGCGCGUUAGGAAUAGCCUGCGUCCGAUUAGCGAGUUGGUGGGGUAAAGGCCUACCAAGGCUGUGAUCGGUAGCUGGUCUGAGAGGAUGGUCAGCCACACUGGGACUGAGACACGGCCCAGGCUCCUACGGGAGGCAGCAGUGGGGAAUAUUGGACAAUGGGGGGAACCCUGAUCCAGCAAUGCCGCGUGUGUGAAGAAGGCCUGAGGGUUGUAAAGCACUUUCGGUGGGGAGGAGGAUUGAUUGGUUAAGAGCUGAUUGAUUGGACGUUACCCACAGAAGAAGCACCGGCUAACUCCGUGCCAGCAGCCGCGGUAA